CAGGGCUGAGGGCUCAGAAGGCAGCAUCUGGGGCGUCUCCACCAUGGCCUGGGCUCUGCUCCUCAUCACCAUCCUCACUCAGGGCUCAGGUGA
rnacentral:pre_miRNA from 1 species